rnacentral:lncRNA from 1 species
AUUAUUUCAUUUGUUACUCUGAUAAUGGUAUGCAGAAAUUAAGUUAAAGAAAUAUCAAUCAUACAUUUUUGAUAUGUUCCAAACGACCAUCAUUUAGGAGAAACAGUGAAAACUAAUCAACUCGCAUUAAGCCAAAUAAUAUGUUAGGGUUGAGUAUUAAUAUAUUUUUACUGUACGUUAAGGCAUAAAAUUGUUGAAUAUUUGCUUUCAGAUUUUUUUUAUAUUUACGAC